AUGAGUCGUGGAGGACGAUGGCACCACCUACCGCAAGGGAUACAAGCCGCCGUCGUCCGGGCCGUUUGGUGGGGUCUCGUCGAUGGGCAUGAGCUCCUGCUCGUCCUCGCAGGUGCUCAGUGCGCCGUCGUCGUCGUUCCCGAGCCCGGUGCCUUCCUACCACCCCAGCCCGACGUCAUCCAGCUUCCCGAGCCCCACGCGCCUCGACAACCCCAGCCCCGCCUACCUCCUCCCAUUCCUCCAUGGCCUCCCCAACCUGCCCCUGCUCCGGGUCUCCAACAGCAGGGGGUGAAGCAAACACUUAUUAGGAGAAUUACUUCUGCAGUGAGCCGGAGUGUGACGUCUUCUCACGGGCUACUGUCAUCAAUCAAGGUGGUCAUUGGUCUAUAUCAAGCUUGA
rnacentral:rRNA from 1 species